UAUCAGCAAGGUCUUUAUGACCUGCAUCUUGUGUUGACCUCCUAUCUCACCCUGUGACUCAGAAUGCCUUAACCAUCUGGGGAUGCAGCCCAGUAAGUCUCAGCCUCAUUUUACCUGGCCCCUACUCAAGAUGGGGUUGCUCUGGUUCAAACGCCUCUGACAGGGUGACAACUGUGACCACAACAGAUUCACAAACAUGACAUUUUCAGAGAGAGGAAGCCUCCCCUGCUCUUAGUCUAUGUGAUUCGGACACAGCCAACUACAUUUCCCAGAUCCAGAAAUGAACACGCCAUUCCAAGUAAAGCCAAUGAGAGACAGCUGCAGGACUUUUGCUGGAACUAUUGGGAAAGUGGUGUUUCUUUUUCUGCUAUGGUUACUUAUCUGCUAUGCUCUAAGCCUGGAACUGCUGGAGGUCAUCUUUGCUGCAUGAAAAUGAAGUCAAUAUUGAGGACAGCAGAGAUGUGGACCCUGAGACCAGGGAGGUUGCGUGGCAUCAUUACAUCAGAAGGGGAGUGGUCUGAAUCCACUCCUCCCCUUCCAGGGCAGGAAGUCAACAGAGAAGGGCUCUGUGGUAACGUUGACAAUCACAAAUCAGUGGCAUAAACAUCUCCUUAAGACAUGCAGAGGCAGCUGGGCGUGGUGGCCCACGCCUGUAAUCCCACCAUGUGGGAGGCCAACGUGGGAGGAUCACUUGAGGUGGUUGUGCUCACCCCGCAUCAAGGUUGCUAAGCUGCUGUGAUGGAAUCCUGGAGCUGCUGAAGGACACCUCAUCUCUUUGUGGGAAGCAUCUGCUUGAGGAUUAAGGGAAUGCAGAAAAAAAGUGGAGUAGAGAGAUGGAGGAAGAUGACUUUCGAGGACAUUGUGUGAGCACCUGGAUCUAACUGUGCCUGAAGCAAAACUCAAACCCUGGACUCUCAAUGUAUUGGCUCUCAGUUCCAAGACCCAAUAAAUUCCUUCUUAGCUUAGAAU
rnacentral:lncRNA from 1 species